UCUCUGCCCCACAUCCUCAGAACUCACCUUAAAAGGUCAUGAGCACAGGGAAGCACUCUGUCCCAGCAGGCCAGGUGGGCCUCCCUGCCACACCCUCAUGGAGCCCUGUAGUUUUUCUUCGUGGCACUUUUCAAAGCUGUACCUAGUUACCUGCGUGCCUCCUGUUUACUGUGUGAAUGUCACAUGAGGUCAGAAAAUGGGUCAAUCUUGCUCCUGGCUCUAUGUCCAGCUCCUCUGGGCCUCACACAGUUUAUGCUUAAGUAACUCGCAUGUCAAAAUGCUCUUCAUCAACUAUGAAGGCCAACGUUAGGCAUCACAAAGCAGGUGUGUGAGCUCUCCCACACACCGCCUGCAUCUGUCUGCUGCUCCUUGAACCAAGCCCGUUGCUGCCCUCUGCGGGAAGGCCGUUGUUCUAAGCAAGCUUACUUUCUGAAUCAGAGCACCCCCUUAAGGGAGGAAUCCCACAGAGGACAUGUUACUAUGCAGAGGCCCUGAUAACAAGAUAAGUAGGUACACGGGCAAAGCACUGUGUUUUACAUCUUGUCAUUUAAUCCGCAUUAUCUUUACAUUUUACAGAUUCAAAUAAAGGGUAAAAGACUUGCAUAAGCUAAAAUCAACCGUGGUGGUUCCUCUUCCGAGCCCUUUGUUCUUUACACUAAACAAGUAAACAAGCCUAGAUGCUUCAUAAUUUUUUUUUCUUGAAAUACCCAAGGAAGCCAGUCACUCGUGUGCUGUUAUCUAUCAUGACAUGGAGUCCCAUUGAGACAUUUCUGACGGCACAGGAAGAGCUAGACUAGGAGCAGGGUAUGUCUGCAUUCAGUGCCAGCUCCACUUCAUGUAUCGUGGUGACGGCCAUUAAUUCCUCCAAUCUGAGCCUCAGUCCCAUCUAUAAAAGGAGGGUGACGGUUGCCCUCUCUUCCUUACACGUGAUUGUGAGGGAGAAUGAUACAAUGUGUACCGCUGUUGCUCUUUCCUUCUCCAGCUUCUCCAGCCACCCCAUCUCACGCUCACACCAUCAGACCCCUCAGUCUAGGUCACACAGCUCCCACACCAUCCCUGGGCCUCUCCUCUUCUUGCGCACAAUUUUCACCUUGUACGUUUUCCCUGUGCUCUGUAAGAUUUCUGGGAAUUAGACUUCUACUUGGUAAUUGUUUUUUGUUUUUGUUUUUGUUUUUUUCCAUUCUGCUUCACUUUGUCUCCAUCAUGCUUUCUCUUAAUUUCCUCCUCUGUGCUUUCACUCAUGAACUCUCUUUGUUCUUUAAUUGCUUACCUACAGGUUCCUGGUUGUUUACUCCCACUCACUAAUGUGAUCUAAGUCAAUUGCUUCUGUUAAUCCCCCUUAGAAAAUGUUCUGGCUGGUGCUGUUGACCCCAAACUGGCGUUCCUGGGCCGCAGGGUUCCAUCCUUGAAGACCUGUCUGCUGAGAUGUGUAGUUGAGGCCAGGCCAAACUCAUCAUGGUUGGGAACAGACAAGAAAGCUGUGUUUUGGGGGCAGAUUGGGCGGCUUUGGAAGUCUUUAGGCCUAAAGGCACCCACUUGGUGACCUGGCUGAGCAGAUGAAGGAAGGAGUGAUGCUUAUGCCACAAGUCUGCAUGUUGGCUGCCACCAGAGCCACCUGCUGCUCUUUCAUCUACUUGUGAGCACAUCCAGGACAUCUGUGCCCAUUGGCAUUACACUUACCAUAGGAAGUUAGGGAAGAUAUUUCCAUGGAGACAGAGAACUGGAGGGUCCCCAGGGUUGUGCUAAUCACCCUCAGGGCUUAUAAGGUGGUCACAGGUUACUCAUAGUUCUGCCUUUCAUCAGAGUUAGGAACUGGCAGCAGCAAAUCUCCCACAUGAACUGGAUGACAGUACUGCACACUGGUAAUCCUUCUAGGAAGGAUCCUGAAAAGCCAAGAUUACAAACCCUCAGCUCUGGCUCUCAGGGCCAGGCUCUCAGCUGCUGCACUGUAAGAAUUUAAGUAGAUCCUAGGGACAGGUUGGGGAGCUGGAUCAUCCAUUGAGGGCACUGGCUCACUGUUAGAACAAAGUUCUUCCCACCCUCCACCGCAUGCCUGUCCUUACUGCCAGCACCUGCUUCUCCAUGGGUGGGCACCCUUUGGAGCUGUGUUGGAGAAACCAUGCCCCUCUUCUCAGAGGCCCCUCCCUCAUAUCUUUCCAGAGUAAUUAAUGGCUUCUUUACCAUUGACACUAUUUUAUUUUUACAACAACACUCUUGAUUUUUGAUACAUUUCCCUUUGCCUUUUUUAAUUAGUGUUUGAGGCAAGAGAAAAGAGUCGAACCAGAUAUUCUUCUUGACUCACUGUAGGUGUAACAGUCUCUCUAACUCAACAUAAGACACAGACAGCCCUUUCCUCUUCUCUCUCUCCCCCAAAACAGGACACCUGCAAUAAUUUCACCCACAGUGAGAUUGGAGGGGAAGGAAAGAGGAAUUGCUGGUGUCUAUUCUAAAUCCUUUUGCAACUGCUUCUCCUGAGUCUAAACCCGAGAUCCCUACUCUGAGGUCUGAGCACCCAUAUCUCUCCAUUCAUAAUUUGCAGAUUAAUCUAGAACUUGCCAGAAUUUUCUUUUAUUACUAGAGGAAGAAAUAAAGAAACAAUAAAAUGAAAAGUGCUAGCAAUAAUGAAGACUGACACCAUCCCUCACUGCUUGACCUUCUCACUUCCCCGAGUCUUACUUUGAAUCAGGAAAUAAAAUGAUGACAGUGACUUUUUCUCUGGCUAUAAGAACAUAAAUAUUUGGUGUAGGCAACUUGCAUCAGCACGGAAGACAAGCAGGCUGGCGUCUACUGCCAGAGAACACUAGGGGAUGACCAAUCAGCUUGCACAUUAAAUCAUUCCAUUGAAGCCUUGUGUGUUCCACUAGAAAGUUCUGUCUAAUGUCGGGAUGGAGAUGGCUUGUUCACUGGACCUCUCUGCUCACAUAGCUAAUCUGACACUCAGAAUGGAAGACUUCCUGUGGAUUAACCAGAGGAUCUGCUCCAGUACCACUUACGUUAUAUGUGUUCUGAUUAUUAUUGGAAUUCCUGGGAAGCAAGCAAUUGAGAGGAAGAGCAAGUGAAGAUUAAGUAACCACACUGUUUUCUUCUACUUUCAGGGAAGCCCAACAACGACACUGUGGAUUUUCUCAGUCCUAUACUUCCUGUGACCUGUGGUGAGGCAAAGGGGAUUUUAUAUAAGGAGAAAAUGAAACAAGGAUUCUCAGAGAAGUGCAUUCAGAAUGAGGAGGGAGUUUGGCUCACAAUAAAUGAGUUUACCGUUGAAGGGAAGAGGGCAAGCUCAAAAUGCUGGAAGCGGAGUGUACGCUGUGGAGGACAGACCUUAAGACAACUGAUAGAGGAGGGACUUUUGCUCUGUCCUCCAAAAAUAAAUCUCAAGACAAAGGUAACUAGCAGGUGAACUCCUACCAUGCCCAAGGGCUUCCUGGCAGACUUUCUGGUUCUGAAGGCCUCCAGCCUCUGAGCGUCCAGCUCCAAGGUUCUUCCCUGUGGACAGAGCAACUUCUUCACAGCUGCAUUCGCACAUGGCUAGGUGCACACACCGCCAUUGUUUUCACAGGUCAUUCAAGA